GGUUCGAUGGCGUAGUUGGUUAUCGCAUCUGUCUUACAAUCUGAUUCUUCCUAGUUGUAGCACAGAAGGUCCUCAGUUCGAGCCUGGGUCGAGCCA